UACGUAGGGGGCAAGCGUUGUCCGGAUUUAUUGGGCGUAAAGAGCGUGUAGGCGGUUUGGUAGGUCCGCUGUGAAAACUCGAGGCUCAACCUCGAGACGCCGGUGGAAACCAUCAGACUAGAGUCCGGGAGGGGAGAGCGGAAUUCCUAGUGUAGCGGUGAAAUGCGCAGAUAUUAGGAAGAACACCGGUGGCGAAGGCGGCUCUCUGGAACGGUACUGACGCUGAGACGCGAAAGCGUGGGGAGCGAACAGG
rnacentral:rRNA from 1 species